GCAGUCCCGGAACGCGGGAUGCUGGGCGCGCAGCCUCGCCGUCCGCCUCGCCACUCGCCCGCCGCCCCGCGCGUCUGGGAUACUCAGCGUUUCAGAACAGGUGUUUUUGGAAAAAAAUCCACAAUUUGGAUGUGAGAAAGGACAUGAGGAGACCAAAGACCUGGGAUUUUGCUGAUCAGAAUGAAACAAACGUUGAAAGACUUUUCCAAUCUACUGUUGGUGGUGCUCUGUGACUAUGUUCUUGGAGAAGCUGAGUAUCUCCUGUUGGGGGAGCCGGGCCAUGUAGCGCUAAGCAACAGCACAGUGACUGUGGCUUUCCAGUAUUUCGACGGAACCAACGGGACGCUGAGGAAUGUCUCUGUCCUGCUGUUGGAGGCCAACACCAAUCAGACUCUUACCACCAAAUACCUCCUGACCAACCAGUCCCAGGGGACGCUCGAGUUUGAGUGCUUCUACUUCCGGGAGGCUGGCGACUACUGGUUCACGAUGUCUCCAGAGGCGACAAACAGCAGCGCUCCGGCCCCUCGCUGGGAGAGGAGCGCCUUUCUGAAGGUGGAAUGGCCCGACUUCCACGUCCACCUCAACAGGACCUCCAGGGCUGCAGAAGGCACCUUUCAGGUGGGCCUGUUCACCAGUCAGCCGCUGUGCCCGUUCCCUGUGGACAAGCCCGACAUCGUGGUGGAUGUUAUCUUCACCAACAGCCUUCCCGAGGCCAGCACGAGCCAGGGCCAGCCCCUGGAGAUACGAGCCAGCAAGAGGGCAGAGCUCUCGCAAGGCCAGUGGCUGGAGUUUGGCUGCGCACCUGUGGGGCCGGAAGCCUAUGUCACCGUGGUGCUGAAGCUGCUUGGCCGAGACUCGGUCAUUAGCUCCACAGGCCCCAUUGACCUGGCCCAGAAAUUUGGAUACAAACUGGUGAUGGCGCCAGAACUCACGUGUGAGUCCAGGGUGGAGGUGAUGGUGCUGCCCCCGCCAUGCAUCUUCGUCCAGGGGGUCGUCGCCGUCUACAAGGAAGCCCCCAGACGCCCUGGGGAAGGGACCCCUCGCCUGGCUGAAAACAGCCUGAGCCUGGGAGAGAGGAGAACAGUAUUCAACUGCACUUUGUUUGAUGUGGGGAGGCACAAAUACUGCUUUGACUUUGGCGUUUCAAGCAGAAGCCAGUUUUCUGCAAAGGAGAAGGAGUGCAUGCUAAUUCAGAGAACUAUAGCUUUCCAGACAUCCAGCCCGUCUCCUCUCCAGCCCCAGGGUCCGGCGAAGUCCAACAACAUCGUCACGGUCACGGGCAUAUCCCUGUGCCUGUUCAUCAUUGUGGCCACCGUGCUCAUCACGCUGUGGCGGAAGCUGGGCCGCUCCCCCACGUGCAGCACCCCCGCCCGGCCCAACUCCCUCCACGGUCCCGGCUGCCGGAAGAACUCGGACGAGGAGAACAUCUGCGAGCUGGGCGAGCCGCGCGGCAGCUUCUCGGACGCGGGGGACGGGCCGGCGGGGAGCCCCGGGAGCCCCGGGGACCUGGGCAUCCCGCUGACCUACCGGCGGAGCGCGCCGGCGGCCCCGGACGAGGACGCCUCCGGCAGCGAGAGCUUCCAGUCCACCGCCCAGAAGAUCAUCCCGCCCCUGUUCAGCUACCGCCUGGCCCAGCAGCAGCUGAAGGAGAUGAAGAAGAAAGGCCUGACGGAGACCACCAAGGUGUACCACGUGUCCCAGAGUCCCCUGACGGACACCGCCAUCGACGCCGCCGCCGCCGCCACUGCCGCCGCCCCCCGGGACCCGGAGGUCCCUGAGGACGCCGCGGCCGCCAAGUUCCGGAUCAAGGCCCCGUUCCUGGAGCAGCCGCCCGCGCCGGGCGCCGGGGACCGGCCGCCCUCCCGGCUGGACCUCCCGCUUGUGCAGGCCGCCGUCAGCCCCAGCCAGACCGUUAUCCGCAAGUCCCAGGCGAGGCACGCGGGCGGCAGGGGGGCGCCGCCGGACAGGGGCCACCCCCGGGGAUCCCACUUCCGGAGAACAGCGAGUUUCCACGAAGCCAAGCAGGCCCGGCCCUUCCGGGAGCGCAGCCUGUCCGCCUUGACCCCCCGGCAGGCCCCCGCCUACGCCUCCAGGACCCGGACCUGGGAUCAGGCGGAAGACCGAGUCCGGCCGCAGAGUCGAGGCGCUGCCCCGUUUCCAGAGAAACCCGACCAUUGCCAAGGGGCAGGUGGGACCAGCGGUCUGCUGAGCCCUCUGCCCAAACCCCACGCCUCGGGGCAGCCGACCAGGAAACCAGACCUGGGGGAUCGCCAGGUAGGAUUCGUGGCAGGAGGUGAGAGAACAGAGCCCCACCGGGCUCGGAGGGGACCAUCCCCCAGUCACAGAAGUGUCUCAAGGAAGCAGCCAUCCCCCACGGCCCCCAAAGAGAGCUACCAGAGGGUCAGCCCCCUGAGCCCUUCCCAGAGUAGAAAAGACAAGUGUCAGAGCUUUCCCGCCCACCCCGAGUUCGCCUUCUAUGACAAUACGUCAUUUGGCCUCACUGAGUCCGAGCAGAGGAUGCUGGACCUGCCAGGAUAUUUUGGGUCAAAUGAAGAGGAUGAAACCACAAGCACGCUGAGUGUGGAGAAGCUGGUCAUCUAG
rnacentral:lncRNA from 1 species